rnacentral:snRNA from 1 species
AGCUUUGUGCACUGGCAGCAUUGUAGCCAAUGAGGUUUAUCCGAGGUGUGAUUAUUGCUAAUUAAAAGAUGAACUGUGGGGAGUGAAACCAUCCCAAAGAGGUCGGUAGGGAAAAACCAAAUGCUUUGUAGAAAA